rnacentral:lncRNA from 1 species
GGCCGGCCCACGCAGAAAAUACGUCAUACGUUCGUUUGGCGCGAAUGGGGAGCUGGAAAGGGCGGGGCUGGAGAAGUACCGUUGGGAGUGUGGGGUGGAGACUAGAGAGGCACAGUACAGGUGGUGUCAAACCAGAGAGAGCCUCCAGAGGACAAUCUUUAGAAGAUGGAAACUUUGGGCUAAUAUGAAGAUCUGAUCCUGUCACUCUUACUCAUAUGAGGAGUCAACAUGAAGUCAAGAUAAAAGUGAGUAAGAAUAAUUGAAAAGAAUUAUUGCUCUAACAUCAACAAAUACUGUGACUAUAAU